rnacentral:lncRNA from 1 species
GUCCCCGGCGUCCGGGCGCCCUGCAUGGAUCCCCCACCCCAGCUCCUGCUCCCCGGCGGCGGCCGGUGGGCAGAAAGACCGAAACCCACUCACGGCCGCCUGCCGAAUCGCGGCUCUGCUGUUUGUGGGGCGUGCUAGAAACGUGGUCCUAAAAAGAAUGGCGUCCAUUUACAUAAUGCUUUGUUUGCGUUUCGCAAGUUUCUUUCGGUUAAAGCCACAGAAACCCCACCUCCUGCCCUUGUGUCGUUUCCACCGCGGCACCCUUUUCCGACAUUAGAAACAAUAGUGUACGCCUGUGGAGGCCUCGUUUGUUCAGGGGCUGCCGGCCAGGGCUUCAGGACGUUUCUGCGGCUUUCCCCGCGCGGCCUGGGCUCCCGCGGCUGCUUUUCGGGCCCAUGGGCGCAGCCACUGCGCCAGGCUCAAGGGGGGCGGCCCCGUCAGGGCCCGCCAUCUUGGAAGGCCUUUUUUGCCGGUUCUUCCCGCUGAGGAAGUGUCGCUCAAGACGCUGGCCUAUGAGUUGUGAUUUCUGCCUUUUCCCCUUCCUCCUUGGGCUAAGCCAGACCAGAAAGGGCCCCGUGCGCAACGUGCUUCACAAUCUCUCAGGGAAAGCGGCUAACGUGGCGCUACUCCGCCUCCCCUGUUCCUUACCCUUGGGGCGGCCGCCAUGUUUCCUGAACACAAAAUGGCGACACGUGGUUAGCAUUCGUCGCCAACGAGAAAUUGGGGUCGGCCCGAAAGCUCUAGAAUGCACCCCUCUUCCUCCCCGGGGCCUUCCACCUCCGCGAGUUUUAUGACUUAAAAAAGCCCACAGGCUGGUCUGAAGGUCGGAGGCCUAAUUUUAACGCGUUUUCCUCCCUUUAAUUUGAAACGGGAACGCGAAUGACUGUAAAAUGUGGGCACAAUAUUUAAUCUCUCGCCUUUUUAAAGCUUAAUAGUGGAUAAUAGGGGGGCAGUAUCAAGGGAUAAUUUGGGUCCCCACAGUACCAAAGCAUUUAGAAACCUCUGUUUAAUUUAAGGAAUGAGAUAAGUUACUGCUUUUCUAGACUUCCUAGCAUGGGCUGUUGUGCUGGAGAGAACGAGAGCUACGAAGAGACUACAGUGCCUCUGACUUUUUCAUAGGACAGUUGGCCGGUGAAUCUUAUUAAUAGUUUACCACAAUUAAGUGUUCAUUUUUAGUCUAGAAGGGACAGGCGUUUAUUGUGCAUUGGCCAGUGCCAGCACAUCCGAUGCAAGGCAGUUCACCGUAUUCUAUCUUUAAUUUUUACCAUGGUCCUCUGAGGUAGGUGUUCUUAUCUCUCUCUCUCUCUCUCUCUUUUAAACAGAGGAAGACAAACAUAAAGAUGAAGUGCUUAAUUCAAGGUCACACAAUGUCGGGGAUGGACCUCCAGAUUUCCUUACUGACCUGCAUUAUCUUGUGGAUACCUGAGUGAAUUCCACACCACCCAUUUUAUAGAUGAAACCACUGAGACAUGGAGCAAUUGACUGAGUAGUCACUGCCCCACCCCUGCCUGGAGCCUCACACAUGACUCGCCUCCUCUCAGUGACCACAGGUUGGUUGAGGGGUUUAACAAGGCUAAGAAGGUGAGACGUGGUCUUGUAACACAGUGGUUAAGAAUGUGACUUUGGAGCCAGCCUGCUAGGGGCUGAAUUCUGACUCAGCCAUUUACUAACUGUGUGACCUUAGGCUGGAGUGCAAUGGCAUGAUCUCGGCUCAUCACAACCUCUGCUUCCUGGGUUCAAGCGAUUCUCCUGCCUCAGCCUCCCGAGUACCUGGGACUACAGGCACUCGCCACCAUGCCCGGCUGAUUUUUGUAUUUUUAAUAGAGAUGGUUUCACUAUGUUGGCCAGGCUGGUCUCGAACUCCUGACCUUGUGAUCUGCCCACCUCAGCCUCGAAAAGUGCUGGGAUUACAGGCGUGAGCCACUGCGCCCAGCCUUGUAUUUUUUUUCAGUUUGGGUAGCUGUCCCUAAUUCAUUUGUUAAAGGAGAAGCAAGAGCAAGAACCUUUAAUCUGUUCUCCUCUUCCCUAAUUUGAAAGUAGCUUGUUAUUUUGAAUAUCACUUUCUCUGAAAUAGCACAUCUCCAUCUCAGAGAAUGGAUUUAAUGUUUGGAUACAGCCAAAAGUCAUUUCAUUACCAAACCAUGGGGUGAAUAUACCAUGUAAAGCAGUUUGGGAUCAGAACUCACAGUCUGAAUUGUAAGUGAUGAGACUGCUGUCUCUCUGCUACAGCUUCUUGGCUGGCUCUGAAGGCUCUUUGAAGGCAGAUCCUAACAAGGGGACUGCUUUGAAGGGCCAUUGUUCAUUUGGAAUGAUAAAGUCUAUGUUGUUCAAAAAACAAAUGCUUGUAGCAGGUAUUUUUUCACUCCAGACUGAGAAUAUUGGUGGGAUAUUGAUAAGGGGUACUGAAUGGUAAUAAACAUGUGCUCUAGCUCUGUGCUAGUCAGCUUAUUUCAGAACUCUAGUUUGAUUCAGUUUCUUGCCUCUGACUCAAAAUGGAGGGAGAGUGAUUUUUACAUAAGAGAACACACCCACAUAUCCUUUUGGCAGCAGCUACCUGCCAGAGAUGUUGAAGAAGAGUAGCCAACCUUUACACAGCAGAUAUUGUGUGCCAGUCAUAGUCCUAAGUAUAAUACCUUACAUGUAUAAACUUCUUAUAAGGUUGGUGCUCUGUACCGAAUUGAAUAGUAUCCCCCAAAAUUCAUGUUGUCCCAGAACCUAUGAAAGUGAUCUUACUUGAGGGAGGGGGGAGGGGGGAGGGAUAGCAUUAGGAGAUAUACCUAAUGCUAAAUGACGAGUUAAUGGGUGUAGCACACCAGCAUGGCACAUGUAUACAUAUGUAACUAACCUGCACAUUGUGCACAUGUACCCUAAAACUUAAAGUAUAAUAAUAAUAAAAUAAAAAAAAAAAAGAAAGUGAUCUUACUUGGAAAUAAGGUCUUUGCACAUAUGAUCAAGUUGAGAUGAAGUUGUACUGGAAAGUCUGUCUAGUGACUGGUGUUGUCAUAAGAAGAGAGGGACACAGAGGGAAGAUGGCCACAUGAAGAUGGAGGCAGAGAUUGCAGUUAUGCUGCUGCAAACUAAGGAAUGGCUCUGGCCCUCCAAGGAUUGCUGAUAACCACCAGAAACUAGAAGAGACAAGGAAGGAUUCUUCCCUAGAGCCUUCAGAGGGAGCAUGGCCCUACUGACACCUGGAUUUCAAACUUGUAGCUUCCUAAACUGCAAGAGAAUAAAUUUCUGUUGUUUUAAGCCA